rnacentral:rRNA from 1 species
UACAGAGGUCCCAAGCGUUGUUCGGAUUCACUGGGCGUAAAGGGUGCGUAGGCGGCAGGGCAAGUUUGAUGUGAAAUCUCCGAGCUUAACUCGGAAACUGCAUUGAAUACUAUCCUGCUCGAGGGUUGGAAGGGGGACUGGAAUUCUCGGUGUAGCAGUGAAAUGCGUAGAUAUCGAGAGGAACACCAGUGGCGAAGGCGAGUCCCUGGACAACACCUGACACUGAGGCACGAAAGCUAGGGGAGCAAACAGG